ensembl:lncRNA
AAGACACACACGCACACACACGCACAAACACAGACACCCAUGGAGACACAUACACACACACGGAUGCACACAUGCACAUGCACAGACACACACACACAUGAACGCAUGCACGCACAAACAGACACACAAAUGCACAGACACACACACAGACGCACACACACACACACACACACACACACACACACACGUGUCACAUGCACAUCCACACAGACAUUCCCACAAACAUUCGCAUAAACACGCAAGUCGCUAUUGCCUUUGAGCUUAGACCACUAGAGGUGAUGGGGGGGUCACCUACAAUGUGUAAAGUGUCUGACCUCGGGCCCUUUGGGGGUCUCCCCUGUGCUCUGGAGUACAAACAGCCUCCUGCUGGUCAGUAGAGCUCAGCCUUGGGAACUGAGGUGCUUUCACUUCUGAGUUUCAACCGGGAUUAAAACUGAAUUAUAAACCCUGACAGAAGUGACGGGCGUUUAUGAAUCGUAACCCCACCCCCUCUGCCUCCCACUUAUGCUCUCUAACUCGUUCCCCCCAGACACACACACACACACACACACACACACACACACACACACACACACACACACACACACACACACACACACACACAAACACACUCACUCACAGGGGCUCACAAAGCAAUUACGGCCCAUGGCAGGGGUCUGUAUUUAUGGAGACGGCUUGUCACUCUAUUUCAGGGUCCUGGUGGGGCUGCGAGUGCACACACACACACUGUGUGUGUUACAGUGGAAACACUGCACCCACAGCACGGUUCUAUGACACACACACCGGUAUGAUGUCCGUCGGCCCGUCUGCCCCUCCCCUUUAAGGGCUCCGUGAUUCACCCCAGUGCAGGUCUGUUGUUAUCCCCAGCGUCUUGGGGAUAAGCCAGUGUAUGAGGGGGGAGACCUUCACCGAUGGGUCUGUCUGUCUGUGCCAGUUGAGCUGUUUGCACCUCAAGCGCACAGUGUGAUAACACAUGGACGUGGUAUGCGGUGAAACCCUUCUGAGAGACGCACCGUUUUGGUUUGGGAAAGAGUUUUGGUUUUGUGAUACCCCUUUUUGUUUUUCAUGUCUCUCAAGUUAAGUUGCAUCUGCCUGCGGAGCAAGGCUAGCCUGUAAUGCACUGACAUGUUGUUCGGUUAGUGUCACUUUGUACAUUUGAUUUGAUGGCCACAUAAUCGAAAUUCCUGAUUUGUUCUGUCAAACAUCAAAUCACCUUUCCUUUCGGUUUCACCAAUCUACGCUCCUACAUAGAUCAUUCAUCUAUGUAGGAGCAUCAUCUAUGUUUUAGUGUCCCUGACAUUGUCUGAGGAGGGGGCGUUCCUGCGAGCCAAGAGGAAUAUGGCUCAUCGCUGUGGCUUGUAGCUUUGCAGUGAUCCCAUGUAAGUGUCUAUAGCUCGUGAUCUUGGGUUACGGUGAGCCCUCCAGCCAAGGUCAGUGCAGGGCAGAGACAUGAGAGCCCAUGUCGGCCUGCUUGUUCUUCGUAUGUCAGAUUGUAUCAUGGAUAAGUUGAGGCAUCCUCCAGGUACACUGGGGGUACUUUCCUCGCGAUAAUAUUUAUUUUAUUGCCUUCUAAAUUUCUUAAACAAUAUGUUUCCAUAUAAACCGGUUAUAUGUCUCUUUAAAUAUAGUGCGGGAAAUUCUGGGAAAUCAGCCGGAUUAAGCUAGAUUUUGAAAGUAAGCCGCCCAAUCAUUUAAUUCGGCCCCAAUUAAAUAAGGCUUAUUAUAGGCCUGCGACAAACAUAAGCACCAUGUAUUUAUUUAUUUUUAUUCUUUCUUUUGUCCGAUCAUUAUAUUUUUUUCUUGCUGUCGGGAUGUAAAGACAAUAUAAACAAUCAUGACAAUUAUUCUAAAUGAAAUGGCCUACCCUACCUUUAACGCAGUCAUUGUAUGAAAAAAGCAUUUAGUAUUUUACCUAGUUUAAUUAAUUAAUUAAUUAAUUAAUUAAUUAAUUAUAUCUCCAUCUCAAAGUUAUCUUAUUUAUUAUUGAGCAUUGCUGAGGCUUGCUUUAUAUUGUAUCAGUGUUAUACCAAAGGUAAUGAGCUUUACAUCUGACUGCACCUAUUCUAGAGAUAAACAAUUAUGGCUCACAUAUUUCUUGUAAUAAUUGACACACUAGGAAACAUUGCAAGGCUUAGUUUUUUGGACUUAAUUCCAUUCUCAAGUCUAUAUAGCGCUGUAAUACUUUGAAGGGACAUGCUGCCCUCUGGUGGCAUACAAUGUGAAAUGCCUUUAUGUAGCAACAACUGUCCAACACUUGAAGUUUGUCAUUUAAUGUCUUGUAGUUAUGGUACCUGAUCAUUAAACGUUCACAUAACAUUGUGACUUAGCCACGUUUCUCCACAAUUUAUAUAUGUGAAUGUCUUAUCCUAAAAUAUAUUUUCUACAAAAGUGUGUCAGCCAAAGGCAGAUAAAAAAGGAAGCUGUUUUAAUCCCAAUAUAUAAUUACCCUGUUGAUGAUGGGAAAACAAAAGACCCCUUCAACCAAUAUCAGAGAACCCAAAUGACCACAGCCCCUUGAGCUGAGGAAUGGUUGCUUUUGUUUAUUUAUGUUGGGUCUGAUAGAGAGAGGGACUGCAGUGAAUUGCCUGUGUGUGUGUUAGUGUGUGUGUGUGUGUGUGUGCAUGCACAUCUGUGUGUGAGUUUGUGUGUGUCAGUGUGUGUGUGUGUGUGCUUGUGAGCUGGAGUGGGGGGCGGGGUCUCUGGAUUGAAAGGGAACACUGAGCCGUCUGCGGGGGGGGCACUGUUAGGCCUGCUGAACCGCUGCCAUUGUUGCCGUGCCAACAGGGAAGCGGCCUUGUAUGCUGAUAUCUCUGUUGGCCGCUGAAUCUUCCACAAGGAGAGAACAACAUGGAUGGCCAGGGCCACAGCGACGCAUCGGACACGUUCAUUUGGUUUUAUGCAGGCCUUAUUAUUUAUGUAUUUAUGCUUUAAUAUUGUAUCUGAAAUUGACAGUUGUAGCCACUAGUUUUGAUUAUUUUGGUGGAAAAGAUGCAUGCUAUUAAAAUGAAGGACAAUAAUACACAAUGGGAACAAUUGAGGCCAAUUAACCUUAGAAUCAUGUUUUGGAACCAUCGUUUUAGAAAGGGUGGAGGGCUGUGAUCACACCUUGUUGUGUCUUUCAAAACCGGAACCCCCUUAUAAUCUGGGGUUGACGCUAUUUUUAUUAAAGCAUCACUAAGGACUGUA